rnacentral:rRNA from 1 species
GAUGAACGCUGGCGGCGUGCCUAAUACAUGCAAGUCGAGCGAACGGACGAGAAGCUUGCUUUUCUGAUGUUAGCGGCGGACGGGUGAGUAACACGUGGAUAACCUACCUAUAAGACUGGGAUAACUUCGGGAAACCGGAGCUAAUACCGGAUAAUAUUUUGAACCGCAUGGUUCAAAAGUGAAAGACGGUCUUGCUGUCACUUAUAGAUGGAUCCGCGCUGCAUUAGCUAGUUGGUAAGGUAACGGCUUACCAAGGCAACGAUGCAUAGCCGACCUGAGAGGGUGAUCGGCCACACUGGAACUGAGACACGGUCCAGACUCCUACGGGAGGCAGCAGUAGGGAAUCUUCCGCAAUGGGCGAAAGCCUGACGGAGCAACGCCGCGUGAGUGAUGAAGGUCUUCGGAUCGUAAAACUCUGUUAUUAGGGAAGAACAUAUGUGUAAGUAACUGUGCACAUCUUGACGGUACCUAAUCAGAAAGCCACGGCUAACUACGUGCCAGCAGCCGCGGUAAUACGUAGGUGGCAAGCGUUAUCCGGAAUUAUUGGGCGUAAAGCGCGCGUAGGCGGUUUUUUAAGUCUGAUGUGAAAGCCCACGGCUCAACCGUGGAGGGUCAUUGGAAACUGGAAAACUUGAGUGCAGAAGAGGAAAGUGGAAUUCCAUGUGUAGCGGUGAAAUGCGCAGAGAUGUGGAGGAACACCAGUGGCGAAGGCGACUUUCUGGUCUGUAACUGACGCUGAUGUGCGAAAGCGUGGGGAUCAAACAGGGUUAGAUACCCUGGUAGUCCACGCCGUAAACGAUGAGUGCUAAGUGUUAGGGGGUUUCCGCCCCUUAGUGCUGCAGCUAACGCAUUAAGCACUCCGCCUGGGGAGUACGACCGCAAGGUUGAAACUCAAAGGAAUUGACGGGGGCCCGCACAAGCGGUGGAGCAUGUGGUUUAAUUCGAAGCAACGCGAAGAACCUUACCAAAUCUUGACAUCCUUUGACAACUCUAGAGAUAGAGCCUUCCCCUUCGGGGGACAAAGUGACAGGUGGUGCAUGGUUGUCGUCAGCUCGUGUCGUGAGAUGUUGGGUUAAGUCCCGCAACGAGCGCAACCCUUAAGCUUAGUUGCCAUCAUUAAGUUGGGCACUCUAAGUUGACUGCCGGUGACAAACCGGAGGAAGGUGGGGAUGACGUCAAAUCAUCAUGCCCCUUAUGAUUUGGGCUACACACGUGCUACAAUGGACAAUACAAAGGGCAGCGAAACCGCGAGGUCAAGCAAAUCCCAUAAAGUUGUUCUCAGUUCGGAUUGUAGUCUGCAACUCGACUACAUGAAGCUGGAAUCGCUAGUAAUCGUAGAUCAGCAUGCUACGGUGAAUACGUUCCCGGGUCU